UAACUUUGGUGGCGACCGGCGCACGGGUGCGUAACGCGUAUGCAACCUACCUUUAACAGGGGCAUAACACUGAGAAAUUGGUACUAAUUCCCCAUAACAUUCGAGAAGGCAUCUUCUUGGGUUAAAAACUCCGGUGGUUAAAGAUGGGCAUGCGUUGUAUUAGCUAGUUGGUGAGGUAACGGCUCACCAAGGCAACGAUACAUAGGGGGACUGAGAGGUUAACCCCCCACAUUGGUACUGAGACACGGACCAA
rnacentral:rRNA from 1 species